rnacentral:rRNA from 1 species
AUUGAACGCUGGCGGCAGGCCUAACACAUGCAAGUCGAGCGGAUGACGGGAGCUUGCUCCUUGAUUCAGCGGCGGACGGGUGAGUAAUGCCUAGGAAUCUGCCUGGUAGUGGGGGGCAACGUUUCGAAAGGAACGCUAAUACCGCAUACGUCCUACGGGAGAAAGCAGGGGACCUUCGGGCCUUGCGCUAUCAGAUGAGCCUAGGUCGGAUUAGCUAGUAGGUGAGGUAAUGGCUCACCUAGGCGACGAUCCGUAACUGGUCUGGGAGGAUGAUCAGUCACACUGGAACUGAGACACGGUCCAGACUCCUACGGGAGGCAGCAGUGGGGAAUAUUGGACAAUGGGCGAAAGCCUGAUCCAGCCAUGCCGGGUGUGUGAAGAAGGUCUUCGGAUUGUAAAGCACUUUAAGUUGGGAGGAAGGGCAGUAAGUUAAUACCUUGCUGUUUUGACGUUACCGACAGAAUAAGCACCGGCUAACUCUGUGCCAGCCGCCGCCGUAACAC